rnacentral:rRNA from 1 species
AGGGUGACAGCCCCGUACACAAAAAUGCACAUGCUGUGAGCUCGAUGAGUAGGGCGGGACACGUGGUAUCCUGUCUGAAUAUGGGGGGACCAUCCUCCAAGGCUAAAUACUCCUGACUGACCGAUAGUGAACCAGUACCGUGAGGGAAAGGCGAAAAGAACCCCGGCGAGGGGAGUGAAAAAGAACCUGAAACCGUGUACGUACAAGCAGUGGGAGCCUCUUUUAUGGGGUGACUGCGUACCUUUUGUAUAAUGGGUCAGCGACUUAUAUUCUGUAGCAAGGUUAACCGAAUAGGGGAGCCGAAGGGAAACCGAGUCUUAACUGGGCGUUAAGUUGCAGGGUAUAGACCCGAAACCCGGUGAUCUAGCCAUGGGCAGGUUGAAGGUUGGGUAACACUAACUGGAGGACCGAACCGACUAAUGUUGAAAAAUU